GAUGAACGCUGGCGGCGUGCCUAAUACAUGCAAGUCGAGCGAACAGACGAGGAGCUUGCUCCUCUGACGUUAGCGGCGGACGGGUGAGUAACACGUGUAUAACCUACCUAUAAGACUGGGAUAACUUCGGGAAACCGGAUCUAAUACCGGAUAAUAUAUUGAACCGCAUUGUUCAAUAGUGAAAGACGGUUUUGCUGUCACUUAUAGCUGGAUCCGCGCCGCAUUAGCUAGUUGGUAAGGUAACGGCUUACCAAGGCUACGAUGCGUAGCCGACCUGAGAGGGUGAUCGGCCACACUGGAAGUGAGACACGGUCCAGACUCCUGCGGGAGGCCGCAGUCGGGAAUCUUACGCAACGGGGGAGAGCCUGACAGAGCAGAGCCGCGUGAGUGAUGAAGGUGUUCGGAUCGUAAAGCUCUGUUAUUAGGGAAGAACAAAUGUGUAAGUAACUAUGCAGGUAUUGACGGUACCUGAUCAGAAAGCCACGGCUAACUACGUG
rnacentral:rRNA from 1 species